rnacentral:rRNA from 1 species
UACGGAGGAUGCGAGCGUUAUCCGGAUUUAUUGGGUUUAAAGGGUGCGUAGGCGGGAUGCCAAGUCAGCGGUAAAAAUGCGGUGCUCAACGCCGUCGAGCCGUUGAAACUGGCGUUCUUGAGUGGGCGAGAAGUAUGCGGAAUGCGUGGUGUAGCGGUGAAAUGCAUAGAUAUCACGCAGAACUCCGAUUGCGAAGGCAGCGUACCGGCGCCACACUGACGCUGAGGCACGAAAGCGUGGGGAUCGAACAGG